rnacentral:pre_miRNA from 1 species
AUGUGCAUCACCUGGGUUCUUGUUAAAAUGCAAAUUCUGCCUCAGUUGGUCUCAGGGAGGCAGAGGGUCUGCAUUUCUAACAAGGUCCCAGGUGAUGCCUGU